CAUCUUCUCGCCAUCUCCUUCGUUUGUGCGUCUUCAGAAAUCGCUUCUUCGUUGCCAUCCAGAGAUUUUCAAGAGGGAGCUGUUGAGCCCGAAAACGUUCUGCAAAAACAUGUUGCGUUCUUCGACAGAAACCAUGAUGGCCUUGUUUAUCCAUGGGAGACUUUUGCAGGUUUUCGAGCAAUCGGGGCUGGUUAUUUGUUGUCAUUGAUCAGUUUUUUCUUCAUCAACGUUGCUCUCAGUCGCAAAACUCGCCCUGUAAAGAUCUCACCAUCUCUUUUGUAUGAUAUUAAACAAUCAGUUUGCAAUGAUAUAUUCAUAUAUGUGGAGCAUGUGCAUGUAGGGUAUGUGUGUUUGUUGUCAUUGAUCAGUUCUUUCUUCAUCAAUGUUGCUGUCAGUCGCAAAACUCGCCCUGUAAAGAUCUCACCAUCUCUUUUGUAUGAUAUUAAA